CCUCAGAGCAUCUUCAUGGCCUCCUCUGGAUGUGCUCCACCACACAGAGCUCCAUGAUCCCACCAGCUGUAGGCUCCAUGUCCUUAUUUUGGAGGCCCCAGAGCUGGACACAUUCCUCCAGGUGGGGUGGCAUGAGAUCGGAGUAUAGAAUUUGUUGGACUUGGUUUUCCUAGGCUCACUUGAAACCUGACUGAACUCCUAACAUCCACAGCAUCCUGAAGCAAGGAGAUCUACAGCUUAAUCACACAAUCUCCACAUUUUGUGGUAUUUUCCUAUGCCUCCUUUUGCAGUAGAGUAUCUUUCAGUAAAAGGUCUCCAGGCUGUGAAGUCUGAUGGAUUUGUACUAUGGCAUGAGGCUGUUCUCAGAUUUGUUCUUGUUUCCCUUGCUGAAAAUCACUAAAUGUUCUGUUUGCAGUUUUACUAUUGCUGAGUAUUGAACUGCCAGCUUUUUGGAACUCUUACAACCCAAGCUCUCAUUCCUCAGUGGUAACAACCAGUUCAAGGCCCCUUUUAUUUGCUGUUAGGAAGAUUUUUGCAAUUAUGUGCUCUGCAUUUCAGCUUGCUCUGUUGCUCAGCAUGAUUAAGUCUCUCCCCACACCCAGCAUUUAUCUUUACUACCCCAAGUAACUCAGUAUCAGCACAUUAUUUUCAUCUCCCUUCUCACAGCAAAUCUUGCAUUAUAGUACAGUUUUUUAUGACUAUGUUGAACAGCUUUAAUGCCAUGCCAGUCCCCAAGGAAGGAAAAUGCCUUUCUUCACAGUGAAAACUCUGUUUAAAUCCUGCCUUCUUUUUUCCCAGCUUUUUGCCAUUUUUUUUGAAUAUUGGUGGUCAGUUUCUUGAAAAGUCUUGAAAAAUGACAGCACUGAAGGUGUUUUAGAAAUCUGAAUAGGCUGGAUGUGCUGGAUGUCCCUUUCCACAUGCCCAGUGACUCCUUCAGGGAACUCCAGCAGAUUUGCUUGUGAGGCAUAAGUCUUCUUUCUAAGAACUAUGCUGACUCCUUCUUAACACAUUAUUGCCUCUCCUAAUUGUUUUACUAUGCUCUUUAUUAAUUCACUCUGAUCCAGAUGCCACACCUGUAGAACCCUAACUUUUGGAACAAUUAAAGAAAAAUCACAGUCACCUUUAUUGUCUUUCUCUUCUCAGAAAGAAACGCUGCUUUUAGGCCAAAGGUUG
rnacentral:lncRNA from 1 species